GGCCCUACACUGGAACAGGCCACGGAGGAGGAGGAGGAUGAUGAUGAUGCUGCUGCAUUUAGUGACGACGAGCCAGAAUACAUUUUUGUCCGUCGCCAACCAGUGGAGGAGACACCUGUGCCAAUUAUUUAUGGGGGCCCCAGACAGGGGCAAGAUAGGUGGGCUGGCCCAGAAGCGGGCAGGCAGCAGCCCACUUAUACAAGAGG